UACGAAGGGGGCGAGCGUUGUUCGGAAUUACUGGGCGUAAAGGGCGCGUAGGCGGCCGAUCAAGUCAGAUGUGAAAGUCCUGGGCUUAACCUGGGGACUGCAUUUGAUACUGAUUGGCUUGAAUGCAGGAGAGGAUAGCGGAAUUCCCAGUGUAGAGGUGAAAUUCGUAGAUAUUGGGAAGAACACCGGUGGCGAAGGCGGCUAUCUGGACUGUGAUUGACGCUGAGGCGCGAAAGCGUGGGGGAGCAAACAGG
rnacentral:rRNA from 1 species